AGAUACCACUCUUGUUUCAGCACGUAGUCCAAGUACCACCUUUCUCUUGACCCCAACGCCCUCUUUCUCAUCAUCAUUCACUUUGCUAAAAUACGGAGAUAGAACUCUGUUUUCUUCACUUCGUCCAUCCACCCCUUCACUGUUCUCCUUCAACUCGUCUUUCUCAUAGCAUACUUGAUUAGUGUUAAAAGAAGGCAGAGUCACUCCACAUUCUCCGUCAUCAUGUGCACCCUUCAUUGCACUACCCCUCUUCCUACCAUUGCACUCUGUUUCAAAAUUAAUUUUACCAGUAGUUCCGU
rnacentral:lncRNA from 1 species